ACGACUCUCGGCAACGGAUAUCUCGGCUCUCGCAUCGAUGAAGAACGUAGCGAAAUGCGAUACUUGGUGUGAAUUGCAGAAUCCCGCGAACCAUCGAGUCUUUGAACGCAAGUUGCGCCCGAAGCGACCCCGCUGAGGGCACGUCUGCCUGGGUGUCACACAACAUC
rnacentral:rRNA from 1 species